UGUCGAGGGGGUCGGACUCCCAGCCCAGAGGUUCUACUCUAUACCCCCUCUGCCCGCCUGAUGGCAUAUGAUGAAAAAAUAAUAAUACAAUCAUACAGUAAAUAGUUUGAAUGACAUUGAUGGAUGCUAUCACUAUGGUGAUGGCUGUCGCCAUCAGGCUCUCUAACCAAGCAGAGCAGCUUCACACGAACCCAGAGGACAGGAAGGCAGACUGAGGUUGCCCAGCGGUCCUGAACGCCGUGUGCUCGUGCUCUGAUGAGGCACAAUCUGAGUGCUCAGCCCACAGAAGUCACCAAACAUCCCUCGCACCCUCCAGAAUAAUCGGCUCGGAAUACGCCUAAAAACACCCUUGAUGGUGCUCCAAAGUCACUGGAUCCACCAGGAUGCAGGGGUGUAAACAUUGACCAGGUUUGAUAACAGCUCAGAGAUUCAGCUCCUCUCCAACCUGUUACGGUGUGAGCGGUGCUGGCAAUAACACAAAAUAGGUUAUCUCUAUGUUUAUUGCAUGGCGCAUAAACGAUUUAAGCGUGGUCAUUAAAAGAGCCUGCUGUUACCUGCUCCCUUUAUUUACGUUUUUUUCCGAUGCACACAACACCCUUGGUCUCCGGGGUAAAGCCACC
ensembl:lncRNA